GUCAUUGUCGCUGAUGAGGCCCAACACUGUUGUGUCAUCUGCAAACUUGAUGAUGUGGUGCGAAUUGUGUCUGGCACAACAGACAUGUGUCAUCUGUGUGU